GCGAGCACCCCCAGCCCUCCUUGGCAGCCUCUGCGAGCGCAGCCGGCGACCGUGUCUGUGGCAGAAAGGCCCGCCAGUGUCCCCUGGGAAACUUGCCAGCACACGUUAUUUUAGGCCUGGGUUUUUCAAUUUGAUCCUAUUCUCCUGGGAUACAGAGGAGUUUUUAUGUUUGCUGUUGCUGCCCUUCCAGAAGAUGAGGGGCCUUUUCCUAGGAUUUUAUAUUAACUAUCCAAGAAAGCUUUCACAUCUGCUGUGAGCCGGGGUGGUACGAAGUUCCUAGCAUGCCUCAUCCCGCUCUCAAAGCCCACGACGACGGUCCUUUGAUUUUUUUGAGGAACAUAUCAUCGCCAAUUUGCAGAUGAGUAAACAGGUUCACGGAGGGGGGUGUGGCUGGCCCAAGUGGCUGGGCCAGGACUUGUGACCAGCCCGUGACUCUCUGCCACUGUGAGCAUGACCCUUUCCUAGCGCUCUGGCUUGCGGUUUGGGUGGGCCUGAGUUUGGGUGUUGCACAAAGUCUAGGAGGAGCACUGGGAAGAGGUGGUGUUACUGCCUGUCGCAGCUUUGGAAACUCUCAGGUCUUUCUGACCCGUGAGGCAUUUCUGUCAGGAUGGGCAGGCCCAGAAAUAAGAAAAGCAUGUUUUAGUUGGGUGCUGUUGCUGGACGGGACCCAAAAGAAUGCCUAAACCCAUUUUACAGAAAAACUGAGGUCCACAGAAAGGAGGGAUUUGCCAAGGACAUAUGGAGAGCUGGUGACAUAAUUGGGGUGUAAACCCAGGCUCUUCAGCCAGCACAGACCCCCCAGAAGCAGUGAAGCCCUCUGCCUGGCGUCCUCUCUGUCCCACUUACCGCUGUUAGAGGCCAUGGGAGGGAUAGCAGGCCUGCAGGGACACGGUUGUCAGGAGAGCUCACACACAUGCUGGCCCUGUAGACAGAGGCUUCAGUAAAACCAAGGAAGGUGAAACUGGCCUGUGUUCUCUGCUCACGGCUGACCCCUCCCCCAACAACUUCUGGGCUUUGCCCUGAGAGGGACAGUGACAAACUGCAGAGUCAGGAGGGCGGCAGGCAUGGGCAGAGGCAGGCAGGGCAAAGCACACAGGCUGUGGGAGUCCACCUAGAGAAGAGACAGCAUGUGGACACGGGGUGGGGACCAUGCAUCUCUCAAGGACUGUCAGGGCAGAGGGAGCCGAUGUACAGACAGGGGACUUGUGGGCAGACGAUGCAUAGACAGAUUCCAGCUCUGCAAGAGGAAAAGUUUCCUAAUAGCCAGAGCAGAUCAAGAAUUAGAGCUACCCAAGCUGCCUCAAGGUAGUGAGUCUGUCAUCACUAGGGGAAUAAGACCAAAGGCUGGACCACCGCCUAAACCAGAGAGGAUGCAGAGGGAACUUCUAGCCUAGCAGGUAGGGCACUCAAGACAAACAAGAAAUAGGUACCUUGCUCUUCUGUAGGCUGCUGGUGCCUGCAUAAUUCGUUGUCUGCCAUCAGACCUGAUGGCUGAAAGAAUCGGGUCGGUUAUGGCAGCCGAGGAAAGUUCAAUAUGCUAAACUGCAACUGGGGCCGGGCAGAAGGUGGCCAAAGCCAGAGGAGCGGAAUUGGACUGAGGAGAGGACAGCAGCAGGGGGGCGUGCACACCACCAGGCAUGCUGAUGGGGCCAUCAAGGUGAAUGACGCUCUUCUGGGCUGUGAGAGGUAAAGGAAGCAGGUGGCAUCAGCGACAGGACUCAAGUGUCACCAGCCUUCCCUGCAUACUGGGCUUCCUCAGUGCUCCAGGGACCCUCUGGGGCACGGGUCAUUUGGGGUUAUCACUCUGUCUCCCUCCCCAUCUGUCUCUGAGUUCCUCAGUGAACCUCAUUCCUCCUGGAAUCCCCGUGGCUGGGGGCCUGGCCUGGAGGGGCCUCCACGAAAGGAUCAGGGAGGACAGGACAGAGCACUCCAUGCCAAGCCGGGCCGUUCAUCCUAGAGGACCAGAGCCCCAUCAGCUGCUCCAGCUUCCUGUUCUUCCAGGCAGAGGUGGGGAAGUGCUGAGCCCUUGAACUAAGGUCCUGCCUGGCUGGCACUGGGGCCCUGCAGUGACUCCAGUGCAGACCUGCCUUCGAGGGAACAGCAGCCUAUUGAGUAUCCAGGAUGUGCAAGGGCUGAGGUCCCAACCAGGGAGCACACAAGGAACCUAGACCCGGUGGCAGAAGUAAUAGCACCAGCUGUCUCCUGCAGAAUACAUUUCUCAGUCCCCUGUGCAGUGUACCCUCAGUUAUAAAAGCAGGCCCAGAUGUCAGCUCACAGUGGGGCUCAGAGGGCCAGAAGCGUCAUUUCCCCUCCUCACUGGGGUGUGCCAUUCCCUAGAGGGUAGGACCACCCUUGACGACACGUUGAUUCUGCCCUCACAGCGUAGGCAUGCAGUCCCAAGGGCCCAGCUGUGUUUGGUGGGGAAGGUAGAGGACGGGCCUCAUGCCUGGCCUCCUGCACUCACUGGCCUUGUGGCCUUGGCCAGUCACGCCAUAGGGGCCUCAGUGUCCUCAUCUGUGCACUGCGUAUGGCAAUGAGCUGCUGACAGACAGUGUUCCCAGCCCAGACAGUGCUGUGUCAGUGUUAUCUAGUGUGAUUCCCAUAACCCUGCCCCUGUUGCCUGGGGUCAGCCCUGCAGUUUGAUUGAAGUCCAUUUUUAAGAGCCACAGGAAGGACCCAUUGUCCAGAAUUCUGGAUAGGAGUCCUGUCCUGUCACUCGCUGCUCCCUGUGUGACCAAGUUUCUUCCCCUACAUCUGUCCAGUAGGGAGUUGGGCUUUGAUGGGCUCUAAGGCCACCUCCACCAAUGACAUCAGGGGUUCUCUAACUCUCCCCAUGUCCCCAUCUGUGGGCUGGACCACCUGCACCUCCCAGGUGAGGGGAGGACGUCGAGGGAGACUGGGAAGGCAGCCCAGCAGCCUCUACCAUCAGACUCUGUGUUUGCCUUCCUGCACCCAUCCCAUGGACCUCAUUAUCAGGAACUGUCAUUUGGGUGACCCAUCUGAGCCCAAAGGAGCUGGAGAGGAGCCCCAGCUCCCGAUGGCCAGUCCAGCUGCUGGUUGGGGAGCAACGCCCUGGAAUGAAUCACCUCAACCGCAAGGGGAACCGUCCGGUACUGCAUAUCCUGGCUGCCUGGAGCAAGCACCAUCUUUGCCAGCCACCAAGGUGAAGAAAGGAUCUGGGGGAGUUCAGCCUCAGAGGACACCCCGUGCACCCUUCCCUCAGCAGAUAUUUUUCAGAGCCCUCCGUACCAGCCACUGGGCUGGGCAUCAGAGAGAGUCCAGAGGUGAGAACAGUCAGGCCCAGCCUCCAGGGGCUCAGCCUGGCCAGGCCAGCCUGUGUCUUAUUGUACACAGGUCUGCACAGGGGGUCUUGGGAGCCCAGAGCUGGCAUGUGGGUGGGCAGUCCCUGCCACAGAGAAUCAGGAGAAGCUGCAGGGAGAAGGCUGCACCUGAACCUUCAAGAGAAGGCAGGUGUUCCCCAGACAGGGACGGCUAGCAGGGCAGCUCAGGUAGAGGGGACAGCCCAGGCAGAGCCAUGGAGGUGCAGGAGAGCCUUGGCGGGUCUCGGGGGCUCCCAGAAGAGUUGAGAUGCAGUUCUCAGUGAUGGGGCCACUGACGUGCAGGUUGCACUCACCAGGGUCCUGCGAGGCAUUUUCUUCCUCAUCUUAGGCUGGGGGAAGCUGAAUGCCUGCCAGGGUCCACAGCAGAGCCAAGACUGGAGUGGAGGCCAUGGGACUCCCAGCCGUGUCCUCCCAUCUCUUCCCCGGCAUUCCUUACACUCAGUCAAAAGGUCUUCUGACGUCAAACCUAGAAGUGUUUGAGACCCAUUUACUCUAGUCCCUUUGCUUCAUGGGUGGGGAAACUGACACCCAGAAGGGAUUUAGGGUUGGUGUAAGGCUGCCCGGCUGGCAGCUGACCACUGACCACAGAGAUGGUGACAGCUUCCCACUGUGGUGACCAGACAGGUCCCUGGAUCAGCCCAAGCUGCCACCUGUCUGCAUCCCACCCCCCAACUUUCUGCACUUGCAGUGACCCACAGUGGCGCCUGCACACCUCAUGACAUCUCAGAGCCCCCUCCAUGGCAGGGGCCCCUACCUGUGAAUCGUCUUCGGCGAUUCUGCCUGAUUGCCCUUGAACACUUUCUUCAUCCCCUCCUGCCUGCAGAACUCUCUCCCUUGGCUGCCCGCCAACUCAUUGACCUGGCACCCACCACUGGCCCCUGGAUACUCUCACUCCAGCCUCAGGGAGCAAAGGGUUGAGCUGAGAAAUUGGCAAGAAAAUGUCAAACUCUUAACACAGUUUCCUGUCUCUGGAAAGGCUGGCAGUGGAGGAAAGGGAUGAAAAGCCUUGAAAAAAAUCUCAUUAAAAGGCUCUGCAGGCACUUUGGCCUGUGAAUGAGUCUUCGCAAGUUCUGGUUUGGUGAGUUUUUGCAAAGGAAUGUGGACAAGAUGAGGGAAGGACUUCAAAGACUGGGGGACUUCUAGCUGGGGGCAGACAGCAGGGAGGCGGGGUGAGUGCUGUGGCCUCCAGUUCUGCUGGGCAGGCUCUGCCCUCAUGGAGCAGGGAUCCUGUGUGACCCAUGGGAAGGGGCACCGAGUGGCCCCUCUGAGGCCUCUGCAGUCAGCAGCUUUGACAAGGACCCAGCCCCUGCUUGGUUGAGGUGGUGAGAGUCUCAAAGCCAGUGGGGGUAAUGGCUGCAUACAGUCCUUACGGAGGGACCUUUGGCUUUCUAAUCCCCGAAGGCAAAUUGCCUGGCAUCUUGCAAACGUGACCUAAGGAGACAUCUCUGGGGUCUGGCCUGUUUCCAUCAUGCUGUGGCACUUGGUUGUUCACAGCCUCUCCAGCCCAGCCCAUGAGCUCUGCCCCGUCCAGUGUCAGUUACUGAAUGACCUGUAGCCCUGCAGGAGCUCACAGCCUCACAAGGAAAGGAAGACACUUACACCUAUAACUCGCGGAGAAUGUGUUCAGGGCUGCCCGAAGUAGAAAGUACUCUUUCUAUGAAAGUUUCCAGGCUAUGAAAGAGGGAAGGAAUCAGGAAGGGGAAUGUGAAGGAUGAGCAGGUCUUAGACCCAUGCACAGGGGAGAAAAGGCAGGCUGCAGAGAGAAUGGGCCCAGAGACAGGGCAGGGCGGAGCUUGCCUAAGAACAACAAAUGACACAUUCAUCUGAGCCCAAGAGAGGUGUAGCCCUGAUCACCAGGUGGAGGGGUCGGGGAUUUACCUGUGAGGCAGCAGGGAGUUCUCAAGGUUUGAAGCAGGGUGCAGUGCUAUUGUCAGGGCUGUAUUCUAGAACCAUGAGUGAACUAGGGGGCCCAUGAGUACUGGCGAGGAGGGAUGCCAGCUUCUGCCUCCCCAUCCCCUCAGUGAUCCACCCCUUCCCCUCCAUGUCCCUACACAUGCCACGUGAACUGGCACAGACCGAGAGCUGGGGAGGGGCCUGAUGUAGGAGUCCAGAAGGCGAACAGCACGUGGGCAGGCAUCCCAGGAGACCGAGGCAGCCCUUUUCAAGAUGGAGAGGGACAACAUAGGCUCUGCAGUCAGAUAUCUGAAUCCAAGUCCUGCUUCCGUCUCUUUCCCCGCACCUGAUGCUGGGCAAGGUACUGCACCUUCCUGAGCAUCACGGGAUGCUUGCCUCAGCAAGAAGUAAGGCUUGGCAGAUAAGCCCUACACAUAGAUGGUGCUCAGUAUAUACCAGUCUCUGCUUCUCCCAGCUUUUCCAGAGCCUUCAGAAAUCACCAUGGAAGCAGCAGAGUGGACAGAGCCCUGGGUGAGUCCAGGCUGUCCCUGCUGCACUAGGUGACUUGGGCAGGUAUCUGGCAGGUAUCUUCUCCACUUGCAUCGAUAAAAUGAGGGUCUGGGGUCUGAUUAGUAAACUUGCUUCCAGUUUAAGGGUUCUAUGACUAGACCACUUUCCUCUCAGUCCAAGGAUGGCAGGAAGGUCCCAUCUCCUCCAAGGAGGGAAGGAGGAGCACGACAUUAUCAAGAACUUGCCUCCUGUCCUUCAGAUUGCUUGAUGACAUCUAUUUGUAUCCGGCUUAGAGCAGCCGGGUUUGUGUUGACUGCUGGGUACUCAGUCUUCAGCCGGCAAAUACCUCCUGUAGCUCCGGAGGAGGUUGGGUGGGUGUAACAGGGCCAAGAAGAGCUGAGGGGCACUGGGGGUGCAUGGCAGUUAGGGUUGUUUUUCUUUUGUCUGUCCCUUCAUUGAUUAAUAUAGCAAAGGAGAGAGUUUUCAAACAGUAGGCAUGUCUGGGUCCAGGCAGGCAAGUGAUUAAUCUUAGUUUGUUGCUGCUGACAGCUAGGAGAAAGAAAUAAUAAAGGUUUAGGCGCCGGUGGGAGUGGGGAUAUGAGGAAAGGCUGCUCUCCCCUCAUCUAUCAGCAGGGAGCAAGUCUCCACUUCCUUCUGCCGUCCAAGCAUCCCCUUGUUGGGUUAACAUCUGAGACUCCAGACACCUAGCUCCGUGGUGGUUGCUUGCUCCCAUGUGUGAGCCACCAGGGUGGUCCCUGCAAGGCCACAGUGGGACCUCCCUGGCCAUUGUUGAGUUCCCCGCACAGCCCCAGCAUACCUGAACACCUGACAGUGGACUUAGUAGGUCACUGUAUUCCCCAGCCAGGCCCCUGCAGGGAUGAUGAAGCCUUUUAAGAGCAAACUUCAGGGAAGGCAGGUGUGUGCAGCUCAGGUACACUACUGCUCGCCUCAGGACCCCCACACUGCUCAGCAGUGGUUGCAGGGGCCCUGAGCUCCUGGCCAUGUGCCCCAUGACUCCCCCAACAGAGGGAGCUCUGCACAGCGGUGAAGACAAUGGCUCUGGAUCUUGGCUUAGGCUCUUGAAACCCAGCUCCGCCACUUACUAACAGGGUAGUGUUGGACAAAGGGACUGAACAUCUCUGAGCCUUGGUUUUCUCAUCUAUAAAAUGGGUUUCACAGGUGUAUUAAUGAAGACACAAUAUAUGAAGUGCUUAGCAUAUGCCCCAGCAUAUAAUGAGUGCUCUAUCAGUGGUAGCUCAAAUGUCUUUAUUAUGGACCUCAGAGAGCCACAGGUUGUUGGGGAAAGAGCUCGGUGUGGCCCAGUGCAUUGCAAAUUGUCUGGGUUCAACCUGGAAGUCUCCAUCUGUGCCCACAUCCACUGUCCUUUACGAUGAUGGGUUCUAGAUUUUAUUGGCUACAGCUGGAAAGAAUGCUAGAGAAUCUCACAGAACUGGAGUCCAAUCCAGGCUCCCCUCUUCCUGGAUAACCUGUCUUGAACCUCUCACCUCUCUUGCACUCUGUACGUUGUGCUUUGGUGUGACCUUGGAUGAAUGAGUGAACUUCUCUGACCUCCUAGUUGCUCAUCAGGAGCUGGAGAUGAUGACCACUCAACAGGUAUCCUUUUUCAUCACCAUGCUGCUGCCCCUCCAGCUCUCCUGCCCAUCUUCCGAACUUGUGGUCUGGCCUCCUCAUCUCAUAGGGAAGCAUGUUGGCAGCCAGUCAAGGUAGCAGCUCCAGGAAUAUCCUAAGCAGAAAUCUUGGGGUUUAGGGAACAGAAAGAGACUUUUUCAAUUUUCUGGUCCAAUAUCUUGAACAAAUGGAGAUACUGAGGCCCAGAAAGAGGAAGAAGCUUGCCUGCCUCUGGCUUUCCCAGCAGGCCCUGUUUGCUAGCAGCAUUUGAGCCAGCCUGAGUCAGGGCAGCAGGGGUGGUUGGGGAAGAGGGGGUCUGUCUCUUUGCUCUUAUCACGUGGAGGAUUUCAUGUCCUUUCAGGGCUGAUGGAGGAAAAAUGAACUUUCUGCUCAAUUAGCGUGCUUCGUGUUUUCUCCUUCUAAAAGGUUUAAAAGAAAUGCCACAAUUAGAAGCUGCUGCUGUAGGCAAAACAGAGACUCCUCAAACACUCUUUGCAGAGGACUAAAUGAGAACAGUGAACUUUAGAAUGCGCAGAUGCCUUGCAGGAUAAGAGUGCACCAUUGAGAGGACACUGUGAGGAAUAUUAGAUGACAUUUCCCUUUAUUCAGAAUUACUGAGAAAAUGUGCCCUGCUGGUGGUAAAACAUUGCCAAGGACGCCACCCUCAACAUUAGACUGGCACCUCUUCUGGACUCCGAGCCUGGUGCUUUGGUGAUUCUGGUGCAGUGGGGGUGGAGAGUGUAGGAACAGCCCUGGGCCUAUGCCCAGGAGACCUGGGUUCAAAUCCUAGCUCUGCCUCUGACAAGUUACGGGAUCCCAAACUAGUCACUAUGAUUUGCACCCUUCCUUUCUGAAGGGUUCAGACAGACCCUAGUUUGAGUUCUGCCUAUUCUCUGAGCCCUCUGUUUACUCUCUAGCGUAGCAAGUGUAAAUCCUGCCCCACCACCUGCUCUGGACUGCUGUAACAUGUGAGUGAGGUGAUAUAUGGGUCAGCAUGCCCAGCACAGGGCCUGAUAUUUGGGAAUAGCCAGCUUUCACACUGUGAUAGUAUGUUCAAGAAGAGUAGCAACCAUUGCCAUCAUUUUUACAGAUAAAGAAACUGGUGUUCACAUUACGUCACAGUUAAUGAGUAAAGAGAUGAGAUUGCAACACAGCUCGAGGCCUCUUUCUACCUUGUGCGGUCUCUCGGAAUAGAAACACCCCCAUUCCUCUCUAGCAGGCACUGAGGAGCCCAGCCAGUGGCCAACUAGUUCUCUGGACCAAAGCUGGAUUUUCUGACAGGACCUGUGACCAUGAGCCCUGUGCCCAGCAUUUCUCAGACGCCUUUCCCCAGGCAGUGGUGACAUGGAGAAAGCCCAGAGACCUGAAACCAGAGGGGCUGGUUCUGAGCCAACAGUGUCAGCAUCCAUGACCCAAAUAGAAGAGUCUAGUUUCUUCUCUGGGUCCAGCCCUCAAGCAGCUGUGAAGAAAGCGCAACUCAUUGCUCCUACUUUACAGAAGAGGAAACAGAGGCUCAAAGGGGCUUAGGAACCUGUCUAAGGCCAUGUUGUCAGGGAGGGGCAGAGGCUGAGCCUGCCCAGCUCCUGGACCACUGUUCUUUCCUGACCCUUCUCAGCCAUUUGCUCCAGCUAAGCUUAGAAGGUCUCCAUUUGCACUGAGGUGCUAGGCUGAUGAUGCUGAGACUAUCUGGUAGCAAAGUAGGAGGCCAAGGCCAAUUCAGAGGGGCCAGUGGCAGGCGGCCUACAUACCUGAUGAGAGAGAAGUUUAGGAAGCCCUAUCUGGCCCUGGGUGUGUGAUAGAUCAGGAGUGAAGGACUAGGGCAGUGGGAGUAGAAAGGAGAGGUGUGUGGAGGUAGAAUUGAUGAGAGGGAGGAGGAGUGAGGAGUCAAGGACCACAUCCAGAUUUCGGAGCAGCUGGGUGGAUAGUGGCUCUCCCGGCUGCAACGCAGACCUGGAAAAGACCCAGGAAAACAGACUCCCUGCAGCUCAGCUUCCCCCUUCCCACUGCUGCCUAAAACGCAGAGGCAAGAGGUGCCUGCUGUCAUUCUGCCUCACUCUGCCAGUUCAUGGCCCAGUGCACCACCCCCCAACCUGGCAGUGCCAGACGUGCCCUUCAACAGGCUGGGGUUCCCUCCCUGGACUGCUGCAUCUCCCGUCUGAGCCAGGGAUGGAGCAGUGCCCUUUGUUUUACCGGAGCUCCUUGGUCUUCUCCAGCAUCUGAGCAGCCCCGAUUACAUUUCCAGCCGGUUUUUAAUUGUCUCAUAUCAGCCCACAUAAAUCUGCCUGUGCGGCUCCGCCACCAGGGAAGCAUUCCAACUGCCCGUCUGUCUCCAGGAAACCUCUCGUGCCCUGGGACAGUUGCCUUCUGAGGCACUGGGUGGUCUCUCCAAAUGAGAAAAACAUUUCUUUCCAAUCACAUUUCUAACAUCUUGUUAAUUUGAAUUAUUUAACAAUAUUUUUGCAAAAGCCAUCUGGGAAUGAGUUGGUUGGCGACUUGGGAGAAGGCAUACAGGGUGCUGCAGGGAAGGCCACGAGGACAGCUGCAGACGUCACAUCUGCUAUCAGUGAAAAGGGUGGCUGCAUGGAGAGGAAGGCGGUGAUCAGGAGCCCGGGGAUUACAGCCUGAAUCCCACCAUUCCUACCAGCCAGGAGGUCACCAGUGAGUCACUUCCCAUCUCAGCCUCUGAGCCCUGAGGCCCAGAUUUGCAGUGGCAGUGGAAGCUGUUGUAAACUCUGAGAGGCUGCACAGAUGCAGGUAGGGUGGUUUGCAGAGCCUUUGUGCUGUAGGGGCUUAUUUUACUGAUAGCUGGGUAAGCGAUACAAAGGUCCCAACAGGAAACAUGAUUGGCCCUUACGUAGAGGCAGUUGGUGGGGCUUGAAGCAACUAACUUCACAUGGUAAAAUCCCAGUGUUAAGGCAGGGCCUGACUGUUCCCCAGACCUUUGGGGAGUCAGAGCCCAAAGGGAGUUGAAUCAUCCAGGUCAAGACCCUGGUGGGGUCAACUGAGGCACAGGAAGGCAAGAGGACCUUCCUGAGGUCCUGUGGAAGGCUGCUGGUAGAGCCCCCAGAAGUCCCAGCUCCCACCCCAGGGUUUUCACCCUUUGGAGCCCCGUAAGCACUGUAUUUUCUUCUCUCAUUUUCUCCACAGACAUUGUCAGUCCUUGAGGCAGAUUUAUAAAAUCAGAUGUCAAAUUUUACAGCCCUUGUCUUCGCUCCCACAGUUCAAAUGCUAGGGCUAUAAAAUGAGGUUUUGUUGUGUGUGUGGCACACUCGCACGCAGGCGCCCUUGCCCUCUGUUGGAGCAGAGGCCGUUCCAUCCGCGGGUCUAUGUCUUGCACCUGCUCUUCUCUAGGAAGCUCCCCUGUGAGCAGCCUCCAUCCUCCUUCCAGCACGAGUGUUUUCUGCCACUUUUAAUAAUGCUUUGCUUUUUUUUUUCUUAUCUUUUUAAAGAUUAUUUCACCCAAGAGGAAUAUCAGAAACAAUUGGGUUUGGCAAAGCCAGCUUAUUCCAAAUGCUUUAAUUAAAACCAUUUUUUAAUUUUAAUUUUAUUUUUGCCAUUUCCUUUGGAAAAUCCUCACUCUGCUUAUGGCCUCAGGCAGCUUGGAGAUCACCCUGCCACGUUUUAAGCACAGGCUUUCAGGGCGGAGCUUAUAGACAAGUCAGCAGCAUGGCUUUCACCACUGAGCUCUUAUCGUGCCCUGGGCUGUCAGCUGGGUGAGGAGACAAAGACAUGUCAGCCUGUAAGCUCACAGUCCAGACAAGGAGACAGGACAGUAGGGAAGUACUUUGAUGGACAGAGGUGUGGCAGAAGACAAAGCGAGGGAGAAAGAAAGAAAGUCUGACUAGGGGCAUCUUGGAAGUCUUCCUGGAGGAGGGGCCAGUUGAGGAGGACUUCAGAUGUUAAGAUGUUUGAGAGGAGAAAACUGGGGAAGUUAUGGGGAAGCAACAGCGAAGUACAAGGACAUUUAAGUUGGAGAUUAGAGGAAAGGCCGUAUGCAGUGUCCUUCCUCCCUAAGGUCCCAGCUUGGCUAGGGUAGCCGGCUGUUCAAUUUUCCCUUGGAAGUGACAGAGCCUCUCUGUUUUGUAAAAUGUCACCCAGUUUUUGUUUCCAGGUUGAGGUGCAUAAAAUGUUACGGCUCUUCUAGAAUUUGUCUAGCAGAUUUUCCAGUUUUUACUAGAAACCCCCCAGGAAAAAAAUCUAGGUACAUAAACCCUGGGACCUUGCUUUCUAAAUUUGCCAUCUAACAUCUGAUUUUGACCCUCAGGGUUGUAGUGUGAAAUGAUUUGUCAUCUGCUAGGAACCUUUCUUGGCUGAGCGUUCUUUGGGAAUGUGUCUUUCGGUCUCAACACCCCAGAGGGCCUGGCACAUGAUAGGUACUCAGGAAACAUUUGGAGAUUAUAUUUGGGAGAAAAAUAAUCACAACAUUCAAAAUGAGCCAUGAUUGUAAUAAAAUCAGAUUGUAAAGGUCAGCCCAGUCGGUAGCCGUAUAUCACAUGCAUGUACGCAUGUGUGUGGGAAAAAUAUAGGAAGGCACUAUGCCAAAUUGUGAUUAACCACUGUCUGUGGUGAUGAAAUGGCAGGUUUUUAUCUUCUUUUUAUUUUGGAUUUGUGUUUUCUGGAUUUUCCACAGUGAAUCUCUUUUAUAAUGGUGUUUUGUUUGGUUUUGUUUUGUUUUUUGAGACAGAGUCCCGCUCUGUUGCCCAGGCUGGAGUGCAGUGGCGCUAUCUCGGCUCACUGCGACGUCUGCCUCCCAAGUUCAAGCAAUUCUCCUGCCUCGGCCUCCAGAGUAGCUGGGAUUACAGGUGUGUACCACCACGCCCAGCUAAUUGUUGUAUUUUUUUUUUUUUUUUUUUUUUUUUUAGUAGAGACGGGGGGUUUCACCAUGUUGGUCAGGCUGGUCUCGAACUCCUGAUGUCAGGUGAUCUGCCUGCCUUGGCCUCCUAAAGUCGCCCGGCCUAUAAUAGAGAUUUUUUUUCUUUAAUGAGGCAGAGCAGGAAGCUCAUUGGCUAUGGAGUUAGGAAACGUGUUUCUGGUUCCAGCUCUGUCUUGAGAUAUUUCUUGUAACUUCUCUGUGCCUCAGUUAUUUGGGGGUACUUUAAUUGGCUCAGUAGAGAAAGAGCAUAGAGUAUCGUGGCUAAGAAGGUAGACCACCUGGAGCUAGAAUCCCUCCCUGGUUCAGAUCUCGAUUCUGCGUCUUACUAGCUGUGUGGCCUCCAUUUCUGCAUCUGUACAAUGGGGAGAGUAAUAGUUCCUACAUCUCAGGAUCGUUGUGAGGCAUAAAUGCAAUCGUGGUCCAGGACCACGAUUUUGUACACUGUGAAGCCCUAGUCAGCUCUCUCUUGACUCCCCACAGCAACUCACUUUAUGCUGAAGGAGACGGGCUCAGAGAGAUGAGGCGCUCACCUGUGGCCACAGCAGUGCUCUACAUCCCAGCCCUCCAUCCCCUCAACAACUCCCCACCACUUCCCAGUCUGCCAGAGAGCAAGCCGUGUGCCCGUCAUUUCCUCCUGGCACUAAAGGCGUAUGCCCCACCAAGGCCGAACACAACCUCGCAGGGAGAAACGCAUUUGCACAGUGCCGGGCAGGCUUUUCUUAGCUCCUGGUAUAGCUUGAACAGGCGUCUGCAGAGUGUUCUCAGAGGCAGGAAGAAUGAUGCCAGUAACAGUGAUUAGAAACUCGAGGCAGUGUAGGAUUCUGACACAUCGAUGGUAAGAUGACUGAGGCAGCAAACGCAGGAGAUGGUGUGACCCGGACACCCACAUUUCAGACUCACAGUCUCCAAAUAUUCGCAUAACUCCAUGUUGAGUUCAGAUUUUCAGGCUAGGAAAAUACAUUUUCCUGUUCUGAAUUGUUCCAACCCUAACCAAAAUGUCAUCUCUGAAGAAGCUAGGGUUGCCUGUUUUACUUCUGUGGGAUCUGUGUUUUCAGGAAGCACUCAGUUCCUAUAGUAAGUAACUUUGUGGAACUCAAUUACUUGCAGACGUGCAGGGGGGAAAAAACAGCAAUAAUUAAUGUGGUCAAACCCAAGCCAAAUAAUAAAAUGAAAGCUUUGUUGUCUGUCAAGGCAGAAAUCAAUUUCAUUAGGGAGCAAAGAGCCAGAGAUUUAAUUUUGAGAAAAUUCUCCACCCUGUGGAAAGAGGUUGUCAAAAAGCUGCCAGAAUGAGUGUCCAACAUGAGAGGAUUUGCCCCCCAGAACCGUGACCACAAAGAGCUGACAGUGACCUUUCAACGUUCCAUUUCCAAACCUUCCAAGUGUGGCCAAAGCCAGUGGGCUUUUGCUUCUUAAAAUUCUUGGACCCAACUGUACACAGUGGCUCACGCCUGUAAUCCUAGCACUUUGGGAGGCCAAGGCAGGAGGAUCGCUUGAGCCUAGGAGUUCAAUACCAGCCUGGGCAACAUAGUGAGACGAGGUCUCUACAAAAAAAAAAAAAAAAAUUAAUUAGCUGGGCAUGGUGGCUCACACCUGUAAUCCUAAACUACUCAGGAGGCUGAGGCAGGAGGAUCACUUAAGCCCAGGAGUUAGAGGUUACAGUGAGCUAUGAAUGUGCCACUGCACUCCAGCCUGGACAACAAAGCAAGACCCCCAUCCUUUCCCACCACAGAAAAGCUCUCGGCCCCAUGCCCCUUUUGGGGUGGUCAAGAGAUGAGUGUUACUAUACCUGAUGACACUUGCAUGUCAAUAAGACCCUGUCUCUUGGGACUUGGGAGGGGCUGGGAGAGGGGGGGACUCAGGAGGUCCGCAGACCCCAAAAAGGAGUUCAGCCGAAGCUCAGGAGUGUCUGUGUUAAUGAUGGAGUUGUGUCCAGCCAGAAGGGCUGAUGGCCAAGCUGGACAGACCCCACGGGACCCUGUUUAGUUGCUGGCUCCCGCUGUGUGAGAGAUGGUGACUGCCUGGGGAAUGGGCAGCAGAAGCGACCAGGAUGGGAAAGGACAGGAAAUUCUGCCCCAGGGGCACAGCUGGAAAAGAGCAGCCCAGGUCUUCCUGUCUCUGAGGGACCUUCACAGGGCAGAAGCAGUGGCCUUGGCCUGCAGGAGCUAGAGCUCGGAGCUGGGCUAACCUCAGCAAGCUGUAGUUAGCCACAUUUCAGCUCAGGACAUGGAAGAACUUAACCACGGGCAAAGCUGUCUGUUUGGAAUGGGUUGUCUUGGUGGGGAAGGAGCUCUCUGGUGAUGGUGGUUAAGUAGCAAAGCUGGACAGUAAAUACUGCGGAUAUUACAGAGGAGUUUCCAUCAUUAGAUGGAACUAGAAUGAUGGUUCUCAAACUUGAACAUGCAUCAGAAUCUCUUAGAGGGCGAGUUUAAAACAGAUUUUGGUUGCAAAGAGAUCCAGGAGGACACAGGCUUAACAAGUAAGUCUCUGGGUACUGGUGGACAUUCUAGGACACACUUGAAUAAACUCUAUUUUUUAAAAACCUCCACUCCACUUCCAGCCCUGGGGCUCCAGGGUGUCUGUAAUGAAGGCGAGUCCUUUUGUUUAAUAUCCUUCCUUCCCAUGUGGUAUGAGCAUCUCCUAUGUGCCAAGCUUCAAAGGUUGUCUCUUCAUCAUGUAGAUGGGGAAACCAAGGCCUGAGAAGGCAGAAGCCAGGACCCCAACACCCAGUUCUGAGCUCUUUACUUAGCUUUCAGUGGACUUCAGGGAACAUUGUAAACUAUUCUCUAUUUCACAGAUGAAGAAACUGAGGCCUAGAUUCCCAAGAACUAUUGGGAGUUUUUCCACCAGGAACCAUGGUCAUUCAUAUAAUUUGCAAAAGGUCCUUGGCAGGGUUUCUGGGUGGUUCCCAGUCAACCCCGAUGCCUUUGAAAUUCCAGGGAGGAAAAACCACCCUCGGGUUAGAUGCAGUGGCCUUUGAGCAGGCAGAUCUGUCUUAAUUUGCAGUUUUAAAAGGCCCCUCUGGAUUUUUUUUCUUCUUUUCAAAUAAAGUUUAUUGUGUAUAAUGAAGAUAUACACCAUGAUGUUAUAGAAUACAUAUAGAUAGUAAGAAGGUUACUAAAAGCUAGAUGCAGUACCUCAUGCCUAUAAUCCCAGUGCUUUGGGAGGCCAAGGCAGGAGAAUUGCUUGAGCCUGGGAGUUCAAGACUAGCCUGGGCAACAUAGUGAGACCUCAUUCCUAUAAAAAGUUUUAAAAAUUAGCCAGGCAUGGUGGCACACCCCUGUUGUCCUAGCUCCUUGGGUGGCUGAGGCAGGAGGAUUCCAUGAGCCCAGGCAUUUGGGGUUACAAAGUGAGCUGUGAUUUCACCACUGCUCUCCAGCCUGGGCGACAGAGCAAAACAAAAAAUGUUCCUAUAGUGAAACAAAUUAACAUAUCCCUCACCUUACAUAGUUACCUUUUUUUGUGUGUGUGUGUGGCUAGAGCAGCUAACAUCUACUCAUUUAGCAUGAAUCCCAUAUGAAGUACAAUUUGUUUAUUACCUGUGGUCCUCGUGUUGUGCAUUAGCUCUCUAGACUUGUUCAUCCUGCAUGUCUGCUCUUUUGUACCCUCUGACCUACAUCUCCCCAUCUCCUCCCCACCCUGCCCCAAGGACCCACUGUUUUUUUUCUCUAUCUCUACAUAUUUGAA